CAGCCGCCGCGGUAAUACGGAGGGUGCAAGCGUUAAUCGGAAUUACUGGGCGUAAAGCGCACGCAGGCGGUCUGACAAGUCAGAUGUGAAAUCCCCGGGCUUAACCUGGGAACUGCAUUUGAAACUGUCAGGCUGGAGUCUUGUAGAGGGGGGUAGAAUUCCAGGUGUAGCGGUGAAAUGCGUAGAGAUCUGGAGGAAUACCGGUGGCGAAGGCGGCCCCCUGGACAAAGACUGACGCUCAGGUGCGAAAGCGUGGGGAGCAAACAGGAUUAGAGACCCGCGUAGUCCCUGUCUCUUAUAC
rnacentral:rRNA from 1 species